AUUAAGAUGUCUGAUUUAAGUAGUAAACUGUAAAUUUACUUAAGGAAAGUUGUUCUUCCUCUUAAUA
rnacentral:tRNA from 1 species